GGAAGGGUGGGUGAGUGGCUGAAACCACCGGUUUGCUAAACCGACGUACCGAAAGGUACCGCGGGUUCGAAUCCCGCCCCUUCCG
rnacentral:tRNA from 1 species